rnacentral:tRNA from 1 species
GGGUGUGUAGCUCAGCUGGUUAGAGCGCUACACUGAUAAUGUAGAGGUCGCAAGUUCAAGUCUUGCCAUACCCACCA